rnacentral:rRNA from 1 species
UACGUAGGUGGCAAGCGUUGUCCGGAUUUACUGGGCGUAAAGAGCGCGCAGGCGGUCGAUCAAGUCGCGUGUGAAAGCCCCCGGCUCAACUGGGGAGGGUCACGCGAUACUGAUCGACUCGAAGGCAGGAGAGGGUAGUGGAAUUCCCGGUGUAGUGGUGAAAUGCGUAGAUAUCGGGGGAACACCUAUUGCGAAGGCGAGCUCGCUGGGACGUUAUGACGCUGAGACGCGAAAGCGUGGGGAGCAACGGG